CAUGGCCUUAUUGAUAAUAAUUUAAGGUCUGAUCUGCUCAAUGAAUUUUAAAUAGCCGCAGUAUUUUGACUGUGCGAAGGUAGCAUAAUAAUUAGUUUCUUAAUUAGGAACUGGAAUGAAUGAUUGGACAAGAAAAUUACUGUCUCUUUUUUAGUUGUUGAAUUUUAUUUUUAAGUGAAAAAGCUUAAAUGUUUAUAAAAGACGAGAAGACCCUAUAGAGUUUAAUAUUUUUUUUUAAUUUGUUAUUAGUAUAAUUUUUUAGACAAAAUUAUUUGGUUGGGGUGAUUGAAAGAUAUAAUUAAUUCUUUUAAAUUUUAAUUAAAAAUUUUUAAAUUUUUAAUCUAUAAUUUGUAAAAUUAAAAUAAAUUACCUUAGGGAUAACAGCGUAAUUUUUCUUAAAAGUUCUUAUUGUAAGGAAAGUUUGCGACCUCGAUGUUGGAUUAAAAUAAAUUUUUGGUGCAAUAACUGAAAAAUUGGGUCUGUUCGACCUUUAAAAUUUUACAUGAUCUGAGUUUAGACCGGUGUGAACCAGGUUGGAUUCUAUCUUUAUAUUUAUUUCUUAUAUUUUAGUACGAAAGGACCAAAUAUGAAUUAAAUUAAUUGU
rnacentral:rRNA from 7 species